UUGAACGCUGGCGGCAUGCCUUACACAUGCAAGUCGAACGGUAACGCGGGGCAACCUGGCGACGAGUGGCGAACGGGUGAGUAAUGCAUCGGAACGUGCCCAGUAGUGGGGGAUAGCCCGGCGAAAGCCGGAUUAAUACCGCAUACGACCUACGGGUGAAAGCGGGGGACCGCAAGGCCUCGCGCUAUUGGAGCGGCCGAUGUCGGAUUAGCUAGUUGGUGGGGUAAAGGCCUACCAAGGCGACGAUCCGUAGCUG
rnacentral:rRNA from 1 species